UGAGAUGCGAAAGCGUGGGGAGCAAACAGGAUUAGAUACCCUGGUAGUCCACGCUGUAACGAUGUCGAUUUGGAGUUUGUUGCCUAGAGUGAUGGGCUCCGAAGCUAACGCGAUAAAUCGACCGCCCGGGGAGUACGGCCGCAAGGUUAAAACUCAAAUAAAUUGACGGGGGCCCGCACAAGCGGUGGAGCAUGUGGUUUAAUUCGAUGCAACGCGAAGAACCUUACCUGGUCUUGACAUCCACAGAAUUCUGCAGAGAUGUGGGAGUGCCUUCGGGAACUAUGAGACAGGUGCUGCAUGGCUGUCGUCAGCUCGUGUUGUGAAAUGUUGGGUUAAGUCCCGCAACGAGCGCAACCCUUAUUCUUUGUUGCCAGCGAUUUGGUCGGGAACUCAAAGGAGACUGCCGUUGAUAAAGCGGAGGAAGGUGGGGACGACGUCAAGUCAUCAUGGCCCUUACGACCAGGGCUACACACGUGCUACAAUGGCGUAUACAAAGGGAAGCGAAGGUGCGAGCUGGAGCGGACCUCAUAAAGUGCGUCUAAGUUCGGAUUGGAGUCUGCAACUCGACUCCAUGAAGUCGGAAUCGCUAGUAAUCGUAGAUCAGAAUGCUACGGUGAAUACGUUCCCGGGCCUUGUACACACCGCCCGUCACACCGUGGGAGUGGGUUGCACCAGAAGUAGAUAGCUUAACCGCGAGGGGGGCGCUUACCACGGUGUGAUUCAUGACUGGGGUGAAGUCGUAACAAGGUAACCA
rnacentral:rRNA from 1 species